AUCUGAGGAACACAGUUACGCAAACAAGUGAUUUAGAUUGUGUGUGGUGAAGAUGUGCUUACUUAUCAAUGCCGACUUACUUGAUUAACAUGAAGGGCAGAGCUGCUGUAGAUAAUACUUGAUUGCUUUGACUGAUACAAUUUACAAAGUACUACGAAUUAAGAAAGGUUUGUCUCUAGUCUCGUGGAAUUCUUCCUCAGGCAGCAGAUAAGUCAUCAAACGACUUGGAAUAUUGGAAUGAUAAAGCAUUUCUCAUUUAAAUACGGAAUGGUAAGAAAAUGAUGUGAGAGUUGGGCAAGAAAGGAGACAAAACAUCUUAAUUGAAUAAAUGAAGGCAAAUUUCUGCAGGAAUAUACAUAAAAACAUCGAUGCAGGUAUGCUUCAAGAGCACUACUCACUUUCUUUCAUCUUGCAAACAUAGCUACUCAACAAAACUUUCACCUGCCUGAUUCUUACUUUUUCGGCUAAACCUUGCAGAUUGCUCUACCUUUUUAAGAGGCACACAACUUAAAAGAUAAAUUUCAUAUCAAUCAUCAUCCAGAGUCGGGAAGUAGUUUCUCUCUAAGACAGUUGACAGUUGCAGUCGUUUUAUAUACAAGAGUACUCGAGCAGAUUAACAAUUAAGGUUACAGCAAUUUAUUUAUUUAUUUUAACACAGAAGCACCAUUUUUGAUAGUAAUCCGAUUGAUUAUUGUGACUAUUAAAUGCUACCUAGGACUUGGCAAGUAAUAUACAAACCUGCAUAAAGUCUGUGGUAGAUAGAGCUAUAAAGGCUGCAAAUCACUUGCUUUAAACCAUAAAUAGAAAUUUUGCUAGCCAGGUGCAUCUUUCACAUUGCCACAUAAGACCACUAAUAUGAAAAGACAACACCAUGAAUUCAUAUAGGUUGAAGUUUAUCUUUAUUCAUCAUAAAUGAAGCUAGUGUAAGUGGUACCCGUGACCAAUCCUGGCAUCCCCAUUUCUACAGUUAGGCUAUGCUUACAAAAUAAAAAACACAAGUGACAAAAGCAGCCAGGAUGCAGAGAAAAAUGCUGUUUCAAGAGUGAUAGAAGUAUAAGUUCUGGAUAACUAACUGGGCACUUAAUAAAGUUGCUGAACUAGAAAACUGCACUAAUUUAUGCCGAAGUAAGAAUAAGUUCAUCUAUUGCAAUUGUUAUGAUAUAUGACUAGGCAGAUAUAUUCAUUUGGUUCACAAUGAUUCAAUAUUAUCAU
rnacentral:lncRNA from 1 species